UUGAUCCUGGCUCAGAAUCAACGCUGGCGGCGUGCCUAACACAUGCAAGUCGAACGCGAAAGUCCCGCAAGGGAUCAGUAGAGUGGCAAACGGGUGAGUUACACGUGGGUGACCUGCCUUCGAGUGGGGGAUAACGUCCCGAAAGGGACUCUAAUACCGCAUGACAUCCUGCCUUUUAAGAGGUGGAGCUUAAAGCUGGUGAUCGCAAGACCUAGCGCUUGAAGAGGGGCCCGCGCCUGAUUAGCUAGUUGGUGGGGUAACGGCUCACCAAGGCAACGAUCAGUAUCCGGCCUGAGAGGUCGGACGGACACACUGGGACUGAGACACGGCCCAGACUCCUACGGGAGGCUGCAGUGGGGAAUUGUUCGCAAUGGGCGCAAGCCUGACGACGCAACGCCGUGUGGAGGAUGAAGACCUUCGGGUCGUAAACUCCUUUCGAUCGAGACGAAUGGCUUCCGGGUGAACAAUCCGGAAGAGUGACGGUACCGAGAGAAGAAGCUCCGGCUAACUCCGUGCCAGCAGCCGCGGUAAUAAGGU
rnacentral:rRNA from 1 species